ACUGGACACGUGCAACUGCCGAAGUUAACGACUAGUGGACGGCUGCCGCGUGCCAUAUCGAGGAGGCGAUGAGUCGUGUUUCCGUCAACGGAGACUUCUUCUAUUGCACCGCCAAGAUGUCCGACUGCGUCUCUCUGCGUGUUGUAAACAGACCCUUUGAGAGUCAUUGCCGACACUAUGGUUGUUGAACAAGUUAUGAUGACCUUAUCAAUGCUUAAUUCACCAAGAUAACACGCAAUUUCAACAUCGUAGUUUCUCACAUUUCCUUGUUUAAUUUAUCAACCAAAAUCGACAAACAAACAAACAUUCUUUGCUUUAGACGCUAACCACCAUCUAAUUAUUAUUUGUUCACUCAUUCAAUCAUUCAACCACCAUCUAUUUAUGAUUCGUUCACUCAUUCAAUCAAUUUCAUUUUACGUUGCAGAAGGCCGCCUAAACAACACAAUAAUACUCCUCGAAAAUCAAAUUACCAGUUAAUGAAUCAUUGUCUUUGACUGAUUCAGCCUUUUAGCGAUCUUUCAACUAGAAAAUAAAUUAUUAAGACAUUUUCUGCUGGCCGAAAAAAAUUACUCGCGUGUCACGAACGUUCUGAAGCGUUGAAUGAAAACCGUGCACUCACGCGAUUGCUGCUCCUAUCACGCCUAGCACCAUUUAGCAAUGUACCAAGGAACAUUUCCGGUAUUAAACGCUAAAUCUCUAGAUAAUUCUUCAGCUGUGAUUGGAGCCUUUGGUAAAAUAUGAAAUAAUAGCUUGAUUAACAUGUUACCGGAAAUCACAGUCCAUUUGGACACUGUUUGAAUCAGUUGGCUGUUGCUUGUGCCAUUUGUCAUUUUGAAUAUCGUAGAUUCAAAAUGGUGUAAAAUAAAAAUAUCGAACUAAAUGAUUUCGGUAAGUGUACGAUGUCAUACCGAAUGGUUAUAGGAAUUGAAGUGAUACCGUUAAAGACCACAUGCUUGCCAUGACAGCUGCCCAUACUUCAGUCCUAUGGGGAAUGUAAACAAGAAAAAAGACCGAUUUGGGACAGCACCAAAUAAGGAAAGAAGACUGACAUGGGCGAAGUAUUUGAACUACUGCAAUAAGCUGAAUUAUCGGCAAACAAAAAUAUCGAUUUAGCUUGUAGACAAUGUUGCAUUUUGAGAAAGAAUUGCAUCUUCUGGUGGAUUGACAACACGGUUCAAGGGCCUCAAGCCAACAAUUUUUUAUCUGCAUACACUUUACAUAUAUUUUUUCAUCUGUUGAAAUGAAUGAGUGAAAAGAUCCUUUGGCACGGGUUUAAAGUCAAACUGAAAUAUAUAUACACAUUUCUUUCACAGGGGCAGGUGACAUCAGGAUGGAGUUAAAUGUAAUUAGUCUUAAGCCAAUUAAGAUGUAGUACUUAUUUGACUCAGAGUACUUGAUAUUAAAGUGUUAAAAACCUG